AUUGAACGCUGGCGGCAGGCCUAACACAUGCAAGUCGAGCGGUAGCACAGAGAGCUUGCUCUCGGGUGACGAGCGGCGGACGGGUGAGUAAUGUCUGGGAAACUGCCUGAUGGAGGGGGAUAACUACUGGAAACGGUAGCUAAUACCGCAUAACGUCGCAAGACCAAAGUGGGGGACCUUCGGGCCUCAUGCCAUCAGAUGUGCCCAGAUGGGAUUAGCUGGUAGGUGGGGUAACGGCUCACCUAGGCGACGAUCCCUAGCUGGUCUGAGAGGAUGACCAGCCACACUGGAACUGAGACACGGUCCAGACUCCUACGGGAGGCAGCAGUGGGGAAUAUUGCACAAUGGGCGCAAGCCUGAUGCAGCCAUGCCGCGUGUGUGAAGAAGGCCUUCGGGUUGUAAAGCACUUUCAGCGGGGAGGAAGGCAUUAAGGUUAAUAACCUUAGUGAUUGACGUUACCCGCAGAAGAAGCACCGGCUAACUCCGUGCCAGCCGCCGCGGUAAGAC
rnacentral:rRNA from 1 species